rnacentral:rRNA from 1 species
GAUGAACGCUGGCGGCGUGCCUAAUACAUGCAAGUCGAGCGAAUGGAUUGAGAGCUUGCUCUUAUGAGGUUAGCGGCGGACGGGUGAGUAACACGUGGGUAACCUGCCCAUAAGACUGGGAUAACUCCGGGAAACCGGGGCUAAUACCGGAUAACAUUUUGAACCGCAUGGUUCGAAAUUGAAAGGCGGCUUCGGCUGUCAAUUAUGGAUGGACCCGGGUCGCAUUAGCGAGUUGGUGAGGUAACGGCUCACCAAGGCACGGAUGCGUAGCCGACCUGAGAGGGUGAUCGGCCACACUGGGACUGAGACACGGCCCAGACUCCUACGGGAGGCAGCAGUAGGGAAUCUUCCGCAAUGGACGAAAGUCUGACGGAGCAACGCCGCGUGAGUGAUGAAGGCUUUCGGGUCGUAAAACUCUGUUGUUAGGGAAGAACAAGUGCUAGUUGAAUAAGCUGGCACCUUGACGGUACCUAACCAGAAAGCCACGGCUAACUACGUGCCAGCCGCCGCCGUAA